GGAUCAGCAAACUCACCUCCUUCAGCUGCUCCAGCUCCUGCUUGAGGCCAUCGUAUUCAGCCUCCAGCUCGUCAUACUGCUGCUUCAGGGAAAUGAGCAUUGCCUGCCAAAUUGCCUCCAUGGUCCCUACCCUGAGACAGCAUCGCCCCAAAGUUCAGGACUCUUCACUUGCAUGGAAAAAAAAAAAUCAGGGACAGCAUUAUAAUACACACAGAGGAAUAGCCUGUUAUGAAUACAGACUGACCUCUCUGUACAUGGAGCCUGCAGCAGUGUAUUCUUAGAAGUUUAUGUCUUGUGUUUGGAUUUAAGAUGCUGUAUAUGUUUAGUAAUGCCACCAGACUGUCUAAUUUUGAAGUCUUUCCUGUACAUGUUCAUUAAGUUCCUGAGGGCAAAGCAGGACUGGAAAACUGAGCUGCAGUUCUAGUGUUUUUUUGCUUUCUUGAGCAUGUUUCAGUGAGGUUUACAAAUAUGACUGUGCUGUUAAAAAUAGAAGGUGAGAUUCACUUGCGUCCAUGGCAUAGAUUAGAGCACAGCUUGUAAAAGCUGCCUGCUAUUGUCUAGCAAGGCUGUGGAAUAAUUGACUGGUCCAUCUACUAGGGAAAUGUGCAAAUGAAAAGAAAUAGGACCAUGGCUUCACUUUGCAUAACAAAUCAGUGUUACAAAACUAAGAGCCAAAUCCAGAUCUUAUCAAAAUCAAUGGCAUCAGAUUUUCACUCCUUAAACACUGCAUUUUUCAAGUAUUUAGAGGGAAAAUACAGUAGAUUCAGAUGCUCAAAUAUGAUUUGGACCAAUUGGGAUAGAAAUCUCCAAGAAAAAUGAGAUUACUUCUUUUAAUAUAUUAUUAAAAGGGUUGAUAUCUUCCAAUAGACAGGUCACUAACCCAGAGAAAGACCCCUCCUUUGCCACUUACCUACUGUGUGAUUUUAGGCAAGUUACUUGACAUUUCUGCCUCAGUUUCCCCAUAUAUAACAUGGAGAUAAUACUUGAAUCCCGGGGUAUUUUACAAAGAAACCUGUGAUUAGAAGUAUCAAAUGUAAAUAUAGCAUGCCAACAUAACCUGUCUACAUAAGGGACUCCAGAGACCUUGGAGUCAUUGUAGAUAGUUUUCCAAAAACAUCAGCUCAAUGUGUAACAGGGACCAGAAAAGCCAAUAAAAAGUUGGGCAUCCUUAAGAAAGGAACCGAAAACAAAAAAUGGAAAACAUCAUGCCAUUACAUAACUCCAUGGUGCAUGCACAUCUUGAGUACUGUGUGUAGGUCUGUCUGUCUCCAUGUCUCAAAAUGGACAUAGUAGGAAGAGAAAAGGUAUGGAGAAGGCCAACUAACAGCUAGAAGUAUGGAGCAGUUCCUGUAUCUUGAGAAACUUAAAAGGCUCUUCAGGCUCUUUAGGAAAGAAGAAGACUGUGGGUGGGGGGAUAUGAAAAGGUCUAUAAAAUCAUGACAGAUGCAGGUAAAGUAAACUCUUAUUCACCAAAUCCCAGAGUACUAAAACUUGAGAACAUCUACUAAAAUUAGCAGGAGACAGGCUGCAAACAAACAAAAUUAAGUACUUUUUUGUGCAGUACAUAUUUAAUUUGUGAAACUCAUUACCCCAAGAUGUUGAAGAGGCACAUAGCAUAGCCAGGUUCAAAAAGGAUUAGACAGAUUCAGGGAGGACAGAUCCUUUAAUAGGUAUUCAACAAAACAGUCAGGGAUCCUCUGGCAUCCCUAAAACAAUGAUGAUGGAUACCCAGAGAGGAUGUAAUGGGACUGAUCCCUCUAGAUACGCUCUGUUCAUAUACUCUCCCUCUAAAGAAUCCACUAUAGCCACAGUCUAGUGGGCUAGACAGACCAUUGGUUUGACCCAGCAGUAUGGCACUGCUUAUGUUCUUUAAAAUGGCACAAAGUAUAAAUAACAUUAUGAGACAAAUAAGAUAAACAUACAAACAAUAGUCAUUUCAUCAAUUUUGUAACUAGAGUGUAAUAUUGAGCAAAUAUUUUAGCAUUUAAAUUCUGGUGGAGAAAUAAGAGUGACUGUUCACAGCAGAGAACCAUACAAGGUAAUGAGUGGCUUUUGAGUGUGAUUAAAUGCCAAAACAAAACCAAAAAAGCCAGUUAUUCCAAGCAUGCUCCUAUCAUCAAUAUAUUCUUAAGACAUGAUGAAAGAUGCAGCAAAUCAACAAAGUAAGAAGAGAGAAGGAAAAUAUUGUUCCCUUGCCUUGACAUCAUUCAAAGAUUCUGUGUUGACUCUUCUUGAACUUUCUAUUGAUACAACUUUAGAAAUGAGGCUUACAUUAGUAAUUGUUCAGGAGUGGAAUGGAAAAAAAAUGCUUUCAGAUUAGAGCUAAAAAGUAAAUGACUGUUCAUGGAGAAGGUCUAUGUUGAAACUGACGGAGUCAACUGGAGCUGUAGGGCCAAACCCAUCCUUGGUGUAACUCCACUUAAAUAAGUUUGGUUUGUCUCAGGUACAAAGAGAAACCUCACUGCAGACAUGCAUAAAUAUUUGCUCAGCCAUACAAUUUGAUGCCUACGCUGGCCACAGAUGGAAAAGGCAAACCUGACUGAUGAAGUGCUGCCUUCUUGCUGCAAUGCUUUCAUACAGAAGGCCAGAGAUUUAUUUUUUUUAAUGGGGACUCACAGUAUAGGAGUGAUAUGUCGGUUGGGAGAAAUAGGAGCGCAAGAGAAUUAGACUCCAACUAUUCUGGACUGUGAAGCAGUUCACAAACUGUGGGAGGGUUGACAUGAAUUAGAAUAUGUUCUGAAACUGCUCCAGAUUAAAUUAGGAACCAUGAAUAGGUAGAUCCAAGAUUUUUAAGAGGGGGGUGUGGGAUCAGUGACUGCCACUGUGGGUGUGACUGUACCCCCACCUGCUCCUCCCUCUACCACAGCAGGCAGACUGUACCACAGAAAAAGCAGCCAGGGUCUUUUUUCAAGGUGCACAGUAAGGUAACAAUCUCCCCUUCCCCAUCUCCCUUCCCCUCCAUGCUUAGCAGCAUAUUCCCUCCUCUCUGCUCCUCUACAACUAUCCCCACUGUCCUAGCUGACCAGGGGGUAGAGGGAGGUUCCAGAGCCUCUCCUAACUUGCUCCAGCCAGAUUGCACAUGGAGCCAGGCUUGACUAGAGACAGCAGAAGCAAGCAAGUACCCUUUCCCUGUGCCUUCUCCCACCAUGGCAGGAAACACCGGGAGGAGAGCAGGCAGGGAGAAGGAACCCUCCCAAGCUGAUCUCUGUCUGGCUGAACCUGGCUUCCCAUGGAGCCUAGCUUGAAUGAGUAGGAACAGUCCUGCCCCAGCUUGGGACAGCAGCAGCCAGAGAAGAGGGGAGGGGAGGUGCCCCUGAGCAUGGAGGUGAAGAGAGGGGGGAAUUUCUUACCCAAUUCAAGAAGUUAAAAAAAUAAAAGCUUCAGUUGCUGCUUCUGCCAUGGCAUCAACUGAAAGGGCAGGUGCAUUUGCACCACCGCGCCCCUCUGGAUCUGCCCCUGGAAUCAUGCUAACUCCCACACUCCCCCAAAUUUACCACCAUUGUCUUCUGUUCUCCUUAUGUUAUGCCUCCUAAGCUGUACCUAAGAGCUGCAGUAUGGAAUCUGGCCCAGUGUGUUCUACUUUAUCUUAAGGUCUUGUACAGGGGCUUGCCAAUGUAGAACACAAGUGCCUCAUUUUUGUUAGUGGCACAGUGGUCCCUUCUCCCCUUUCCCAGCCAUCAAGAACUCUCCUAAAUGUAGUUUCUGCUUUGAGGAGUAGAGGAAGGACAAUUGCUUCUAUAAACCUAAUUACCGAAAGACUAUCAAAGGAAAAGGUCUUUCAGCAUGAUGAUAAAGUAGUCACACUUGACUUGUCCAAUCUCUUCUGGAAAUCCAUCCAACAGCAGGAUACCCCUCAACUGAGUCCUCCCCUCGCUAGCUCCACUUCCCAUUCAAAAAACUAAAAAGGAAGCUGGUGCAUGGAGGUGCAACUAAAACCCUGAUUCUAGGCAACACUUUUAUUGCCUUCACGUAUCUACUUGAAAGUUAGCAUGCACAGUUUUAAGCACUCAUGGGAGUAUCGUAAAUAUUCUUGCCCCAUAAACGAGGCAAAACUUCAGUCCCUGCCCAGAUCAUCAGUGUGCUUUUUGCUCAGAAAUCAGAAUUGCCGUAUUAUUUUCCUUAUUAUUUCACAUUUACCUUGUAGUUUGUUAUUCAUGAGGAUUUCAAAGUACUUCAGACAUUGUUGCACAAUACUUGAGGCAAAAAGUCCUUUCAUGUCUAUUGUACAGCUAGAAGUUGCAUUUUGGGAGACCUUGUUUAUGGCAUUGGCUCCUUCUACCCAGAAAGAACUGCUCCUGCAUCUCUAGUCAUGUUUCUGAGACAGCAGACUUUCACAUGUUAUAGCUCUAAGCUAACAUGGGUUGGUAGUAUCAAGUCAUUCACUUCUAGUGAGAAAGUAUGUUUCAGUAGUGUGAAAGGAGCAAGAGGGUUUUGUCUGCAUCCUAGCAGUCACACAAGUCAAAAAGUCCCCAUCCUUCAGGAUGCUCCACAGGGGUGAAUCCCAGCACCUGCUAAAUAUUUAGGAACUAUUAUGAGAUCAGGAGUUUGUAGCAUCUUCUAGGACUGGGUUCAAAAUCCCAAAAAAUGUUUUGUUAUCCUUGCUGGUUGGCUCACCAGGGUGGACAAAGAGUAACUGAAUAUAGGAACUGAAUAGUCUUCUCACCCAGGGGUGAGACUGCAGGCCAAAGUUUAAGGAUAUUGCAAGUCAGAGGGUUUUCUCUACUAUCAGUGGCUAUGCUUUACCACUUUUUGGAUAAAGUAGUGAUUUAGAACUCCAUAGCUGUCAAGCCUCCAUCUUUUUUCAACACUAAAUGUAGGCAACAUGUUUCUGAAGUACAUCCAAAAAGUUUCCAGCAUCAAUAAAAGCAAGCACUAAAGAUAAAAUAUAAUUCAAGAACAUAGUUGUAAAGAGUAGUGCAGCAGUAGUAGUAAUAGAAUUGUAAGUAAAAAUUUGGAGAGAAUAUUAAGAGACACUUCAGACAAAAGAUAGAUUAUAUUAUACUGAUGAACAUAGGAUUCCAUGUAAAAUAUACAAUGGCUAAAAGAAAAGAAAAAAAGAGUGAAAUAAAACUUAAUGCAUUAGCAGGAAACCUGGAAAAGGAUUACCCACAUGAAGUUUUGUGGCUUCCAGGUAAUAAGGAGAAGGGGCACAGGAAUUAAGGACAAAUCUGCAACAAAAACAAAAUAAAAUGACAGUUAAAGCUGAAAAAUAGCAAAAACAGAACAGCUGGGAGAUUCCAGUUGUAGAAGAGAUAUAGAAUAGAGAGAGAAGGAUUGGACCAUUACCAUGGGCAACUGGUGCCACCUUAGUCAGGGUGGACAUGUGCCCCCCCGGCAACCAGUCAGUGACCGAGGGGGUCCCCACUGCAGCCAAUCUCACUGACCGGGCGGAGGGGGUUGCCACAGCACUUCCCUCUCCCAAGCCAGUGCUCACAGGGUGGGCACCAGCGCUCCCACCUGCCCAUUGCCUACGUGGGGAGCACAGCCCAUCAGGGGGUGCACCACCACUCUCAGGGGGUGCACCAGCACCCCCUGCACGUCACCACUGACCAUUACAUAAACUUAAAACCAAGUUAGUUUAGUUACGGUGCUUUCAGCAAGAUUUGGCAUUGGGCCUAAUGUGGAUCCACUGAAAUCAGCUGAAUUCUCUCUGUGCCAUAAAUUAAUGGAGAAUCAUGCACACAUUAGGAACAGCUUCCACUUUCCACACAAAACCCUAUAAUGCAGAGGAUCAGAAAGGAUUAUUUGAAAGUUCUGACAACUUUGAGGGAUAAAUAGAAUAUCUGUCUAGACUGGAGACUUUCUAUCCAGUUUUUAAAACUAUCUAAUUUAAAGUUAAAACUAUUGUGUAGUCCCACUUUUAUUGAACUGGUUUUCUACCUGGAAAACAGGUGUGAUGCAAUUUGCAUCCUCUGAAAUACACUAUAAUGUACUUUUUUAAGGUGACAUCUUUUAUUGGGCCAACUAUGUAGAUGGGAUAAAGCUAGGAUGUCUUGCAUUCAAAAGCUUUUGGUUCUGAUGACACGAAGCCAGGCACAGCAUAGUAAAAAAAAGAUCAGUGGGAAGGGUUCUGAAGUUUUCCAGCAUAUUUAUGUUGUUAUAUAUGGAAUUGUGUGUUAUCUAGAGGGUUGCAGAUGAGUCCUCUUGGUAUGAUAUUAUAUUUCUUGCACAAAACAUCUUUUUUUUUUUUAAACUGUGCUGUGCCUGGCUCCUUGUUAUCAGACCUGAGGAAGAAUGUCUUGCAUUCAAAAGCUUGUCUAACUUUAUCCCAAUACUUAGUCCAAUAAAAGAUACCACCCUUAGAAAUCCUGGCCUCUCUCAUAGUUUCUAGGUCAUCACAGCUACAGCAUCACUUUUACACUAUUGUAAUCAUAGACACAUAGAGCUAGAAGGAACCAUGUAGUCCAGCCCUGCAAUGAACCAGGAUAAAAAAAAAAUGCUUAGACCAUUCUCAGUAAGAUGGCUGUCACACCUGUUCUUAAAAACCUACAUUGAAGGAGAUUCAGCAACAUCCAUGGGUAAGCUCUUGGGAAACAUUUCUGGUUGUCAGGCUGGUGAUACAUUUUGCCUAAAUUGUGUUUACUGAAUUUAAGCUGAUUUUUCUUGUCUUUCCCCCAGCAACGAAGAGCAAUUGAACACCCUCUCUAUUAUAAACAACUUUUUGAAAAUGAUAGUUAUUUAGCCAUGUUAGCUGGACGUUAGGCAGAAGGUAGGGCAGGGUAGCACCUUAGUGACUAACUUGAUCAGAGAGGCAUGAAUUUGAAGCAGGCUAUAACCUGUGAAUAUUGGAAGACGUGUUCCCACCCAUCUUCUCUUGUCUUGAAGAAAGAAAUCUAGUUCCUUCACCUUCCCUUGGAGGUCAGAUGCUAGUGUGGAAUAACCACCUCUGAAACUACUGUUACUAAAGGCCAAAAUAAGAUGUACCCUUUUGGCAACAGCAGACUCUUGAUCUAUUAAACCUUGCUCUAUGGUUGGUGAUCCAUUAAGCCUCAAAUCUUUUUUCUGCCACACUGUUUUCCCAGCCAGUUAUUCCCUAUUUCACAUUUCUCCUUCCUUAGUAAAGCACUUUGCUCUUA